AACAACGAUGAUGAGUAAUGCAGACCUGUAAUGAUUUGCGAAAAUGAUCGCAAACUGUAAUGAACAUCUAAGGGACUGAGUUGUU